rnacentral:rRNA from 1 species
UACGUAGGGAGCAAGCGUUGUCCGGAAUCAUUGGGCGUAAAGCGCGCGUAGGUGGCCCCGUAAGUCCGCUGUGAAAGUCAAAGGCUCAACCUUUGAAAGCCGGUGGAUACUGUGGGACUAGAGUACGGAAGAGGCGAGUGGAAUUCCUGGUGUAGCGGUGGAAUGCGCAGAUAUCAGGAGGAACACCGAUGGCGAAGGCAGAUCUCUGGGCCGUAACUGACGCUGAGGAGCGAAAGCAUGGGGAGCGAACAGG